rnacentral:rRNA from 1 species
GAUGAACGCUAGCGGCAGGCUUAAUACAUGCAAGUCGAGGGGCAUCAAGGUACACGAAAGUGUAUUGUUGGCGACCGGCGGACGGGUGAGUAAUAGGUAGGUAACCUACCUCAUACUGAGGCAUAGCUGGGAGAAAUUCCAGGUAAUUCCUCAUGAGGUUAUAUGACACAUGUGAUAUAAUCAAAGGUAUCGCAAGGUACUGGUAUGAGAUGGGCUUACUGACCAUUAGCUAGUUGGUGAGGUAACGGCCCACCAAGGCUACGAUGUCUAGGGGUUCUGAGAGGAUUAUCCCCCACACUGGUACUGAGACACGGACCAGACUCCUACGGGAGGCAGCAGUAAGGAAUAUUGGUCAAUGGGCGCAAGCCUGAACCAGCCAUGCCGCGUGAAGGAUGACGGCCCUAUGGGUUGUAAACUUCUUUUGUACGGGAAAAACCUCUGGUCGAGAAUCAGAGCUGAUGGUACCGUAAGAUAAGCAUCGGCUAACU